UACGUAGGGUGCAAGCGUUACUCGGAAUUACUGGGCGUAAAGCGUGCGCAGGCGGUUAUGUAAGACAGUUGUGAAAUCCCCGGGCUCAACCUGGGAACUGCAUCUGUGACUGCAUAGCUAGAGUACGGUAGAGGGGGAUGGAAUUCCGCGUGUAGCAGUGAAAUGCGUAGAUAUGCGGAGGAACACCGAUGGCGAAGGCGGCUUCCUGGACCGAUUCUGACACUGAGGAGCGAAAGCGUGGGGAGCGAUCCGG
rnacentral:rRNA from 1 species